UACGUAGGAACCAAGCGUUGUCCGGAAUUACUGGGUGUAAAGGGUGCGCAGGCGGGCUUGUGCGUCAGAGGUUAAAUACCCCGGCUCAACCGGGGAAAUGCCUUUGAUACGGCAAGUCUUGAGUACGAGAGAGGAUGGUAGAAUUCCUGGUGUAGCGGUGAAAUGCGUAGAUAUCAGGAGGAAUACCCGUGGCGAAGGCGGCCAUCUGGCUCGUUACUGACGCUCAGGCACGAAAGCGUGGGGAGCAAACAGG
rnacentral:rRNA from 1 species